rnacentral:rRNA from 1 species
GACAGCAGCCGCCGCGGUAACACGGAGGGUGCAAGCGUUAAUCGGAAUUACUGGGCGUAAAGCGCACGCAGGCGGUCUGACAAGUCAGAUGUGAAAUCCCCGGGCUUAACCUGGGAACUGCAUUUGAAACUGUCAGGCUGGAGUCUUGUAGAGGGGGGUGGAAUUCCAGGUGUAGCGGUGAAAUGCGUAGAGAUCUGGAGGAAUACCGGUGGCGAAGGCGGCCCCCUGGACAAAGACUGACGCUCAGGUGCGAAAGCGUGGGGAGCAAACAGGAUUAGAUACCCCUGUAGUCCCUGUCUCUUAUCA